UUGGCUUAAAUAUGUAUAAUAAUAACCCCUUGAAAAUGGUAAUUUUGUUUUUUGUCAAGUGAAAAUUUUUUGUCGCAUUUGGAUUCAUCAUUUAUGUUAAUGUUUCAACUUUGGUUUUGUACCUUAUUAACUUUACCAAAAGCCUACGUAAAAGAUACUGAUUUUUGUGCCAGAAAUCCUUGCUUGAAAACUAUCUUAUGAUCAAAAGUGAAAUGGUAACAAAACACUUUCUAAUACAUUUUUCUCAAAUGCACGCACUAUAUUCUAUUGAUUGAAAUUCAUAUCGAUCACAUUUAAAGUUCAAUGAAUAAAGAAUCGCAAUGAUGUGUGUUAGAA
rnacentral:lncRNA from 1 species